AGAGCUGCUGCUCUUGAUUCUGUCUGGAAGACACAGAAUAUGCUUGAUUAGUGGGACUAAUCAAGGUGGGGAGUGUGUUGUAAAUUGUCAUGUUAUGUUAUGUAGAGUGUGAAUAUACCGUAUGAUAUAAACUGUAAAAUGUUAAGUCAUAUAUUACUAGACAAAUACGUAUAUAGUUACUAAACUGUGGUUUCAGUGGAAAUCCUGUACGUAAAUUCAAAAUACUUAGGAACACUUUUUCUACCCAAUGUGGCAUUGCGGUAGGAUGUAGGUAAUGACAGUACUCUAUAAACGGAAUGGCGUAGUGCAAGUCAUGCAAACGCCCAAAAUUAUAUCCUAAUAAUUAUAAUAUAAAUAAGAGCUUGCAAGCGUUGGUUCGGGAGUUCGGAAAACAGACGUUGUUAGACGUACAAAAGUGAUAAGUUGGAAAUCGUAUCGCAGGAGGCGAUAGCGUUUGAAUAAGUUUCAAGUUUAAAGAUUGACGGUUGGCCGUAAUCUCAACGUUUCAAUAACAUAUUUGUGUCGCAAAGAACCAACGUUUGGAACUCCGUAUCAUAAAUCGUGCACAAACCACUGUAAAUAUCCUAUCAAGUGUUAAAUACAAUUGUCAAAAUACAGUCCCAUCGUUCGAGUGAAGUUUCGAGAGCAGUGAACCAGCACUUCGCGCAGAUUGUGCGAAAAUAAUUUAAUAGUGACAUAAAAUACUUCAAUAUAAAACUGGUUGAUUACAGAGUUUUGAUGAGCCAUCUUCAAUGGUUCAGGGAUGAAUAAACAUUGAUUGUAAAGUAUAUAAGCAAUUAAAUGAGAGUACCUACUUAUUGUCGAUUUCAGGUAACUUUUCAAACGGUGGUUGCCAAGUUACUUUCUAAUGUUGCCAACUACAUUUCCAAAUAUGGAAUAUUCGAUAUGAACUUGUCAACUUGAGUUGACACGUUAAGCUGGAUUUCCACUUCCCGGUGUCUUUAUCAGAUUCAAAUAUACAUGUAUAAUAUGGGGGGUGUUCAUGAGCAAGAAUGUGCAUUGUAAAACAGAGAACGAGACUACUAACAAUAAACCAGUGUCAGUCCUCAAGGAAGAAGUUGUCUCAAUUUAUAAUGAAAACUUCACUGACAUUCCCAAGGACAGGGAGCCAUAUUAUGUUAAAGUUCAACGAUGUGUCAUCGAAAAAGAUAAAAUUCCUAUAUGUUCAUUAUGUUGGCCCCAACCUAUGACAUUGACAGAAAUCGAGAUUGUCGUUCCUGAUUUAAAAAACUACACAAAGUUUUACAAAGAUGUUGUAUAUAAUCACACUUCUUGUUACCUGGAAAAGAACUUAAUAGCCCUGAAGUUUAAUCUACACAAGAAUCUAUCUUCAAACGAAAUUUACGACACAGAAUUUACAACAAAAGUAAAAUACAAUCCACCAAACGUGAGAGCAUGUAAUGACUAUUGCAAGCAUCCACAACCUCGUUUUCAUCUGCACAGUGAAUAUACAAAGAUUGCUUUAGAUUAUCUCUUUAUACCAUUCACUCAAUGCUUGCCUGGUUGCAAAGCAACAGAGAAAAUGAAAAUUGUCAAAACAGAAAUCCUAGAGGGUUCAACCCCCGUUGAAAGUCAUUAAAGAACAUAAAGCUUGCAAUCUCUGGAACAAAAAAGUCCAGGAGAGUACACCUUAUCGUAGCAGACGCAGUAAUACAGAAAGUCGACCCCUCGUGCUAAAUAAAGGAUUAUUUGCUUACAUCACAUCACCUAAAAUGAUGCUAGUUGCCUUCAUUCUUUUGACUGUCCUCAUCUCAAUACUCAUUCUGGACUGUAAUCUGUGUCAUCGUAAGAUAGGAAUAAUGUAUUCUAUAAAAAGUUGUGGAAAGAAUGAAGAGUGUGAAGACUGCGUAAGAAGACAGCAGACUAUGAUAGAAAUAGUUUAAGUAUCAGUAGUUUUUGUGUCACAUUUCUGCUAAAAACGAAGACAUGAAUGAAUAAAGCAUUUGAAACCAGGUCCCAUCGGAAGCUGUGGGGAUUGGGAAGGCUGCAACCCCCUUUCAGUAAUUUCCAAAAUUAUUGUGAAAAUUUAACAAGCCCAGCUUUUACCCGAAUCUUCUAGGAGAAAGUCACAUACCGUAAAGUCUCGAAAUAAUAAGCUGCCCGGGCUUAUUUUAAUUUUAAAAAGGUGGCUAAUUUAAUGAUGCGGUUACUUUCAGUGUAAGGAUAUUUCGAGACUCUAAGAUAUUUGAAUUUUCAGACCCCCUCCCCCCAUUCUUAGUUAGAGCUUCCAACGGCGGUGAAAACAACAAAUGACUGAACAUUGUGUUGUGCGACAAGAUGAAUGACGUACAAAUCAUGACACUCCACGCAACGCUAUUAAAGUGUAUGAAAUGUUUUCAGCAGAAACUGUGAGCGUAAUAUUCUAAUAAUUAGAUAAUAUUCUAAAAAUUGGAUAAUAUUCUAAAAGCUGUAUAACAUUUGCACUAAUUUCCGCCAAGUCAACAUUAUACUAGAUAUUUUUAAUUACAUUAAAUUUUGUUUUAGUGAUAUUAAACUGGAAUUCAUGAUUAUAGUAAAUGUGAUGAAAGUUGACGUGUUUUGAGAGCAGUAAAAUGGGCAAGUUUUGUUGUUGCAUAUUCUAGCAAAUUUUUGCUCAUUUUAUGGGCAUCCACUGAAGAAGGUUUUUAAAAGCCUUUUUUCCUCGUAAACCAGAAUAUUAAGAGCAAAAGAAAUGAUCAAAGCUGACUUUGCAAUAUUUUGAGAGCAAUGAGCUGCCUGAAUUACUUAUUACUUAUUUCCAAAAACAGACGAGUUGUUUUUUCUUAUAGUAACUAAUUUGCAGUUCUAUAUAGCUAUCAAAUAAUUUUAUGUUCUCGAACAAGUCAUGGAGUUCAUUUUUUGAAUAAAGAAUGCAAUAUUGUCAAAAAA